rnacentral:misc_RNA from 1 species
CGGCACAAAAAGUUGCUAAAAUUUUGGAUAUUUUGCUGUCAUAAAUUUCAUGCCUAUGUUUGUGGCUCGUGGGUAAUCGUGGUGAGAAUAACAAGACCAUUACGUUUAUGGUCUACUGACGUGAUCAUCAGGAUCAUCAACAUCGGAUGGCACAUCAUAGCGGCAGCAUAGUUGAAAGCAGCUGGCCUUGCCGGUACGGUCUGGCAUGUGUACACGUCUGACGGCAGAUGUUACUUUGACCUUUUAUACUCACAGCUCGCAUAGGCCCAGUCAACAAAACAAUUGCAUUUCCUUUCAACUGAUUUUUUGACUAACGUGAUCGGUUCGUGGUGAGUCAUGUACACUUUCUCCAUGGUCGGUGUUCAACAACAUUCAACGGAGAUGGCUGCACACAAACAUCCCCGGCUAGGCCCACUGGUUAUGGGCCAAUAUCUGGUGACAUACAAUGUCCAAAGAAGUUGAAAUGAAAUCACCGAAUACCCCAAUGGAUACACCACCGGUUAAAACUGUGCUGCCGACGGGUCGCGAACGGGCACGAUUGAGAUGGGUGACCGUGGAGCCGAUCUACGUGCUGGCGAUGAUUGGCAACACCUGCACGGCCCUCGUCAGGCCGCUCUACGUGAAGGAUGUAAUCAGCGAGUCUUACAACUACAACGAGACUAGCGACAACCAUACCAAGUGUGGCGCCGACCAGCCAAGUAACGGUACUUCGCUCAGCGACAAGAUACAAGCAGAGUCCGCCAUGUGGUUGUUGUAUCUCGCCGCUGCCUCUGGAGUUCCUGCCAUGCUUAGCACCAUCAUCUUCGGCUCUACCAGCGACAGACUCGGCAGGAAGCUGACGAUGGCUAUACCACUCAGCGCCUUCGCCAUCCAAGCUGCAGUGUACCUCUUCACGGUUAUCUUCAAGCUUCCUCUGGCCGUCCUCUUUACGGGCGAAGUCCUCCAAGGGCUGGCCGGCGGGUACGGACUCCUUUUCUCCUCCACCAACGCCUACCUGGCAGAUGCCACCUCGGAAAAACAGAGAACUAUCCGGAUCGUGGUCGCCGACAUGCUGCAGUAUCUCAGUGGAGGGUUGAAUCAACUAGGACAAGGCUAUCUGAUCAAAGUCGGUUAUAUCCCGUCCUUGGCGAUUGCAAUUGGGAGUAAUGUUGCUGCCCUGGUCUAUAUUGCAAUCCCACUCUGCCUGAUUGAGACCGUGGAAAGAGGUAGCAUAGAACACCAGGGAUUGCGGCAGGUUUGGCGGAGUAUGAAGAGGCUGGUAAUGUACAACGUGAACGGUCGGCGAUGGCAGAUGAUUCUUCUGACCCUGUACGUCUACUUCUGCAUCGGGCAGUUCAUCGGUGUCUCGGCCAUCUACGUGCUCUACGGUACCGGCAAGCCCUUCUGCUGGUUGUCUGAAACUGCUGGACUCGCCUCGUCACUUAUAUGGAUUUCUCUGGCUAUUGGUAUGCUGGUUGGUACCAAACUCUUCUCACUGUGUCUGGGAGACUACUGGCUGAUGCAGAUUAGCUGCCUCAGUUUUAUGGCCUCCUACCUCAUCAUGGGAUUAGCGAAGUCCACAGCGGUCCUCUACAUUGGUUUGUUAAGGCACUGUUUGUGAGAUUCUCACCUUACAACAGCCGUGACUGAUUAAGAGGUGUUACGGCCUUCCAUGAUAUGAACUUUUGUGGGCUGUCUUCGACUGAUGUCUCUCUCGGUUGCACGGUCGGUCCUCUCAAAGAUAUCCCACCCAGACGAGAU